UGAUAGGAGUGAGAACACCAUUGUGGAC
rnacentral:piRNA from 1 species